rnacentral:rRNA from 1 species
AUCAACUUUCGAUGGUAGGAUAGAGGCCUACCAUGGUGGUAACGGGUAACGGGGUGUUAGGGCACGACACCGGAGAGGGAGCCUGAGAAACGGCUACCACAUCCAAGGAUGGCAGCAGGCGCGCAAAUUACCCAAUCCCGACACGGGGAGGUAGUGACAAUAAAUAACAAUACGGGGUUCUUUUGGAUCUCGUAAUUGGAAUGAGUACAAUUUAAAUCUCUUAACGAGGAACAAUUGGAGGGCAAGUCUGGUGCCAGCAGCCGCGGUAAUUCCAGCUCCAAUAGCGUAUAUUAAAGUUGUUGCAGUUAAAAAGCUCGUAGUUGAAUUUCAAGACCGGCUUAUUGGUCGUGCUUUUGUACGUACUGGUAUAAUCNGUUUCUCCUUUCUGACGAACUAUAAUGCCAUUAAUUUGGUGUUAUAGGGAAUCAGGACUGUUACUUUGAAAAAAUUAGAGUGUUUAAAGCAGGCUCACGCUUGAAUACAUUAGCAUGGAAUAACGGAAUAGGACGUUUGAUUCUAUUUUGUUGGUUUCUAGGAUCGACGUAAUGAUUAAUAGGGAUAGUUGGGGGCAUUAGUAUUCAAUUGUCAGAGGUGAAAUUCUUGGAUUUAUUGAAGACUAACUACUGCGAAAGCAUUUGCCAAGGAUGUUUUCAUUAAUCAAGAACGAAAGUUAGGGGAUCGAAGACGAUCAGAUACCGUCGUAGUCUUAACCAUAAACUAUGCCGACUAGGGAUCGGAUGAUGUUAAUUUUUUAAUGACUCAUUCGGCGCCUUACGGGAAACCAAAGUGUUUGGGUUC